GGUUCUUUUUGCUUCGGUUCCGGU
rnacentral:siRNA from 1 species